UACGGGGGGGGCAAGCGUUGUUCGGAAUUACUGGGCGUAAAGGGUUCGUAGGUGGCCAACUAAGUCAGACGUGAAAUCCCUCAGCUCAACUGGGGAACUGCGUCUGAUACUGGUUGGCUUGAGUGCAGGAGAGGAACGCGGAAUUCCAGGUGUAGCGGUGAAAUGCGUAGAUAUCUGGAGGAACACCGGUGGCGAAGGCGGCGUUCUGGACUGCAACUGACACUGAGGCGCGAAAGCGUGGGGAGCAAACAGG
rnacentral:rRNA from 1 species